rnacentral:misc_RNA from 1 species
UACGAACCGUCCUAACGUUGUUCGGAUUCACUGGGCUUAAAGGGCGCGUAGGCGGGUGAGCAAGUCCGGGGUGAAAUCUUUCGGCUUAACCGGAAAACUGCCUUGGAUACUGCUUGUCUAGAGGGAGGUAGGGGUCUGUGGAACUUCCGGUGGAGCGGUGAAAUGCGUUGAUAUCGGAAGGAACGCCGGUGGCGAAAGCGACGGACUGGACCUCUUCUGACGCUGAGGCGCGAAAGCUAGGGUAGCGAACGGG